rnacentral:Y_RNA from 1 species
GGCUGGUCUGAAGGUGGUGAGUUAUCUCAAUUCACAGUCAGUUACAGAUAGAACUCAUUGUUCUACUCUUCCCCCGCUUCUCACACUGCCCUGGACUAGUCUUAA